rnacentral:rRNA from 1 species
AACGAACGCUGGCGGCAUGCCUAACACAUGCAAGUCGAACGAGACCUUCGGGUAUAGUGGCGCACGGGUGCGUAACGCGAGGGAACCUUAACUUAGGUUCGGAAUAACUCCCAGAAAGGGGUGAUAAUUCCGGAUGAAGUCUACGAACGCAAGAUGUAUCGCCUUAGGAUGGGUCCGCGUUAGAUUAGCUAGUUCGUAGGGUAAAGGUCUACCAAGGCGACGUUACCUAGCUGGUGUGAGAGCAUGACACGACACACUGGGACUGUGACACGGCCCAGACUCCUGCGGGAGGCAGCAGUGGUGAAUAUUGGACGAUGGGCGAAAGCCUGAGCCAUCAAUGCCGCGUAAGUGAUGAAGGCCUUAGGGUUGUAAAGCUCUGUUACCCGGGAUUAUAAUGACGGUACCGGGAGAAUAAGCGCCGGCUAACUCCGUG